AGGGGCGCCUGGGAAAUAUCCUGUGCGCGUCUCUAUUAUGAUCGAGUGUAAAUGAGGGCCGCCGGCAGGCUGGAAACUAGCUACUGCGGUAGCAGUUGCUCUCUGAAGCCGCAAGGUAGGGGCGAUCGGCUGCCGCUGCCAGGAGAGCGGACGAUGCGGAGAUCCCUGAGCAAUCAUCUAAGAAGUCUGAUCACCUGAAUAGACCACAUGGAGAGACUGUGGGAGCACAUGAAGAGAGGUGGGCAGGGGGAACCCAGCUGCAUCCAACAAUCCAGAAAUCCCUAUCAAGAUGCUAGACAUGAAGGAAACCAUCUUGGAUCCACCAGAUCAACCUAGCCACCAGCUGGAUACCACUGAGAGAUGCCAGUGGAGCAGAAUUGUCCAAUAAGCCUUGCCCAAAUUUCUCACCCACACAAUCAUGAGUAUAAUAAAAUGAUUAUUGUUUUCAGCC
rnacentral:lncRNA from 1 species